rnacentral:rRNA from 1 species
GGAGGGCAAGUCUGGUGCCAGCAGCCGCGGUAAUUCCAGCUCCAAUAGCGUAUAUUAAAGUUGUUGCAGUUAAAAAGCUCGUAGUUGAAUUUCGGGGUUCUACCGUUGGUCGGGCUUUGUCUGUACUGGUGUGUAGAAUUUCUACCUUCUGGGGAACCAUCAUGCUAUUAAUUUAGCGUGGUGGGAAACCAGGACCUUUACCUUGAAAAAAUUAGUGUGUUCAAGGCAGGCUUAUGUCUGAAUACAUUAGCGUGGAAUAAUAGAAUAGGACGGUGGUCCUGUUUUGUUGGUUUCUGAAUCACCGUAAUGAUUAAUAGGGAUAGUUGGGGGCAUUAGUAUUCAAUUGUCAGAGGUGAAAUUCUUGGAUUUAUUGAAGACUAACUUCUGCGAAAGCAUUUGCCAAGGAUGUUUUCAUUAAUCAAGAACGAAAGUUAGGGGAUCGAAGACGAUCAGAUACCGUCGUAGUCUUAACCAUAAACUAUGCCGACUAGGGAUCGGACGAUGUUAAUUUUUCUUGACUCGUUCGGCGCCUUACGGGAAAC